rnacentral:rRNA from 1 species
UACGGAAGGCAGCAGUGGGGAAUAUUGCACAAUGGGCGCAAGCCUGAUGCAGCCAUGCCGCGUGUAUGAAAAAGGCCUUCGGGUUGUAAAGUACUUUCAGUCGUGAGGAAGGUGUUAAGGUUAAUAACCUUAGCAAUUGACGUUAGCGACAGAAGAAGCACCGGCUAACUCCGUGCCAGCAGCCGCGGUAAUACGGAGGGUGCGAGCGUUAAUCGGAAUUACUGGGCGUAAAGGGCACGCAGGCGGUUAAUUAAGUUGGAUGUGAAAUCCCCGGGCUUAACCUGGGAAUGGCAUUCAAGACUGGUUAGCUAGAGUCUUGUAGAGGGGGUUAGAAUUCCAUGUGUAGCGGUGAAAUGCGUAGAGAUGUGGAGGAAUACCGGUGGCGAAGGCGGCCCCUGGACAAAGACUGACGCUCAUGUGCGAAAGCGUGGGGAGCAAACAGGGAUUAGAUACCC